UAUGGAAGUUUGGAGUUUGAGGACAACUAUGUUCUCUAAGAUUGAAGUUCUCCCAUGUGAAGAGAUUGCAAAUUGUGUCCACGUCGUUUGUUCUUUUCAUCUUUCAAAAUGAUGAAUUGUAUGGGUCUUAAAGAAAACUUUCAUUCAGACGCUUGAUAAGAACAGCGAUGAAGACUGUAUACUCAUGGACAGGGGUAUUGCAGUAGUACUUUGCAGCAUGUGGAAGAUAUUUUGCUCAACUUUGAAUAAAUAAAAGAGAAGUGAGAUUUAAAGCCAAGGAAUAUGGCAAUGGCCAGAGGAUAAAAAGGACCAAGAAGAAAUUUCAAUCCUAAGGCUUAUUUCAAGGCUUCAUGACCGGAGCAAAUAGCACAGUGCAUGGACUGUGGACCGAGGAGAGAUGGACAGCAAGCUUACAUUGGCAGUUUCCCCCAUGGACGCUUCCAAGGUGACAUUUCAAAGGUCAGAGAGGAUAUUAAGGCUUGGAAUCUUAGUGAUGGAUUUGAGUCAAUUGCAUGGAACCUGACGUAAGCCUUUCUGCUGCAAAUAUUACAUCCCAUCACUGCAAUGGCCUGCUAUGCUGAUAUGAUCUCUCAGAAGGGCUCUGAUUUUGAGUAAAAGAAUAUGUACGU
rnacentral:lncRNA from 1 species